AGCCAGACUCCUACGGGAGGCAGCAGUGAGGAAUAUUGGUCAAUGGCCGGAAGGCUGAACCAGCCAAGCCGCGUGAAGGACGAAGGUGCCAAGCAUUGUAAACUUCUUUUGUCAAGGGACAAAAUCAGGCUCGAGAGCCUGACCGAGGGUACUUGAAGAAAAAGCAUCGGCUAACUCCGUGCCAGCAGCCGCGGUAAUACGGAGGAUGCGAGCGUUAUCCGGAUUUAUUGGGUUUAAAGGGUGCGUAGGCGGACUGUUAAGUCGGGGGUAAAAGCCGGGGGCUCAACCCCGGCGAGCCGUUGAAACUGGGUGCCUUGAGUGGGCGAGAAGUACGCGGAAUGCGUGGUGUAGCGGUGAAAUGCAUAGAUAUCACGCAGAACUCCGAUUGCGAAGGCAGCAUACCGGCGCGCAACUGACGCUCAUGCACGAAAGCGUGGGUAUCGAACAGGAUUAGAUACCCGUGUAAC
rnacentral:rRNA from 1 species